GUCAUAUGCUUGUYUCAAAGAUUAAGCCAUGCAUGUCUCAGUACAAGCCAAAUUAAGGUGAAACCGCGAAAGGCUCAUUAAAUCAGUUAUGGUUCCUUAGAUCGUACCCACAAUUACUUGGAUAACUGUGGUAAUUCUAGAGCUAAUACAUGCAAACAGAGCUCCGACCGGAGACGGAAGGAGUGCUUUUAUUAGAUCAAAACCAAUCGGUGGCGGGUUCGCUCGUCAUCGUCCAACUUGGUGACUCUGAAUAACUUUACGCUGAUCGCACGGUCAUCGCACCGGCGACGCAUCUUUCAAAUGUCUGCCUUAUCAACUGUCGAUGGUAGGUUCUGCGCCUACCAUGGUUGUAACGGGUAACGGGGAAUCAGGGUUCGAUUCCGGAGAGGGAGCCUGAGAAACGGCUACCACAUCCAAGGAAGGCAGCAGGCGCGCAAAUUACCCACUCCCGGCACGGGGAGGUAGUGACGAAAAAUAACGAUACGGGACUCAUCCGAGGCCCCGUAAUCGGAAUGAGUACACUCUAAACCCUUUAACGAGGAUCAAUUGGAGGGCAAGUCUGGUGCCAGCAGCCGCGG
rnacentral:rRNA from 1 species